AUUGAACGCUGGCGGUAGGCCUAACACAUGCAAGUCGAACGCGAAAGUCCUUCGGAGUGAGUAGAGUGGCGGACGGGUGGAGUAACGCGUAGGAAUCUAUCCUGUAGUGGGGGAGUAACGUUUCGAAAGGAACGCUAAUACCGCAUACGCCCCAACGGGGAAAGCGGGGGAGUCUUCGGACCUCGUGCUAUAGGAGGAGCCUGCGUCGGAUUAGCUAGUUGGUGAGGUAAAGGCUCACCAAGGCGACGAUCCGUAGCUGGUCUGAGAGGAUGAUCAGCCACACCGGAACUGAGACACGGUCCGGACUCCUACGGGAGGCAGCAGUGGGGAAUAUUGCGCAAUGGGCGAAAGCCUGACGCAGCCAUA
rnacentral:rRNA from 1 species